rnacentral:rRNA from 1 species
UGCAAGUCGAACGGUAACUUUUGGUGCUUGCACUAAAAGACGAGCGGCGGACGGGUGCGUAACGCGUAUGCAAUCUACCUUUUACUAGGGUAUAGCCCAGAGAAAUUUGGAUUAAUCCCCUAUAAUAUCAUGAAAUCGCAUGGUUUUAUGAUUAAAGCUUCGGUGGUAAAAGAUGGGCACGCGUCCUAUUAGUUUGUAGGUGAGGUAACGGCUCACCUAGACUACGAUAGGUAGGGGCCCUGAGAGGGGGAUCCCCCACACUGGUACUGAGACACGGACCAGACUCCUACGGGAGGCAGCAGUGAGGAAUAUUGGACAAUGGACGAAAGUCUGAUCCAGCUAUGCCGCGUGCAGGAUGACAGCCCUACGGGUUGUAAACUGCUUUUAUACAGGAAGAAACACCCCGACGUGUCGGGGCCUGACGGUACUGUAAGAAUAAGGAUCGGCUAACUCCGUGCCAGCAGCCGCGGUAAUACGGAGGAUCCAAGCGUUAUCCGGAAUUAUUGGG